GACGAACGCUGGCGGCGUGCUUAACACAUGCAAGUCGAACGCUGAAGCUCAGCUUUUGUUGGGUGGAUGAGUGGCGAACGGGUGAGUAACACGUGAGUAACCUGCCCCCUUCUUUGGGAUAACGCCCGGAAACGGGUGCUAAUACUGGAUAUUCACUGGUCUUCGCAUGGGGGUUGGUGGAAAGGGUUUUUCUGGUGGGGGAUGGGCUCGCGGCCUAUCAGCUUGUUGGUGGGGUGAUGGCCUACCAAGGCUUUGACGGGUAGCCGGCCUGAGAGGGUGACCGGUAACAUGGGGACUGAGAUACGGCCCAGACUCCUACGGGAGGCAGCAGUGGGGAAUAUUGCACAAUGGGCGCAAGCCUGAUGCAGCGACGCCGCGUGAGGGAUGGAGGCCUUCGGGUUGUGAACCUCUUUCGCUCAUGGUCAAGCCGCAACAAUGGUUGUGGUGAGGGUAGUGGGUAAAGAAGCGCCGGCUAACUACGUG
rnacentral:rRNA from 1 species